GAGCUUUUUUGAGAGAGGUAUUGAUGUUUUUACCCAACCUGCAAGUAUUCAUUUAUAUAACAUUAAGAUAUUUUAAACUAUCCUGCUAGGAUACAUAUUUAUGGCUUCUGCAUUAUUCUCCCCUUUAUUUUUGUUUGUUUUUGGUACCAGGGAUCGAACUCAGGUCCUUGGCUUGCAGGACAGGAGGCGGAACCACUGAGCUAAAUCCCUGGCUCCUUAAUUUAUUAUUUUUAAAAUUAAUCUUUAGAAUAUUUAUUUACAACAAUGUGCAGUUGUUGUAAAGGCUUCACUUGGAGUUGUGAAGUCAAAUACUCUGAACCAAAGCUGUUUUAAGUUUUUAAAAGUAGGUCAAAUCUUAAAUCCCAAACGAAUGCCUUCUAACACUUUUAAAGUCUUUAUGAGCAAACUUUUUUAUUUUUUUAAGUUAGCAAGAUAAAAAGUUUUAGCCCUGGAAUGGUUCAAAAUAGCCAGAUGCCCAGGAGGUGGUAGGCCAGUUUAAUAGCAGAUUCUCCUAUUUGCCCUUUGCCUUUUAAAAUGAAUUUGACAAUGGACAAAUCACAAGUUCACUGAGCAUCAGGUUUCUCAUCUCAAAGGAUUGUUCCAAGUAUAAAGUAUACUAAGAGGGAUUGUAUUCCUAGCAUGUAGUACACGCAGUGUAAAUUACUAAUGUCUCAUUUUCUCAGCGUUCUCAUCCCUGAUUUCCAUGUAUCUGUGAGCAGGGGUCAAGAAAGAAGAUCUUCAUGCUUGGUGUAAGGAUGCAUCAUCUCCAGCCUCAAUGUACACCAUCGUGUGAAAGGACCCAUCAACAGCUGUAGAAUCUCUGCUGAGUCCUGGCUGCUCCUUUCAGGCAGCCUUCCUGGAGAGCACUGAAUCCAGCUCCUGCCAGAAGGCUAUAACAUGGGGUCCAUACUUUGUCUCCAGUAAAACUUGGAAUGCUGCCCAAUCCAAACAGGUUGGAGGAAGUUAGAUUUUUUUUCUUUCUUCAUUGUUAGAAGAUUAUGGAAUCAUCAUCAUGAGUUGUUCUGCUCACAAAGAUUGGGUUGAACUCUGCAGAGUUGUAUUGCAGGUUCCAGCUGCUCUUCCCCUGAAGAUACAGAACCAGUCCUGAUGGGAGGUGAAGAUGACUCCAACUUACCCAGUACAGUGGUCUGGUGGUCCGGAGUCCUCUGCGGCGUCCACAGACCUGCCUGUCUGCAGCAGGCUGAUUCGGCGUGUUCCGUGUAACCAGGGGAGGUAUUUUUGAAAGGGGAUCUUAUUUCUCAAAGGCAUCCCAAGGUCAUGUUUGAAUCAUCAGGGAGAAGCAGCUAUGAGAAGAACAAAAAGCUAAGGAGCAGUAAUGUGGUCGGAAAGAAAGACUUGAAUUCAUAUCCAAAUCCAACUAAUGCAUGGAUUCCUUAAUUUCUCUGGA
ensembl:lncRNA